GUGUGGUCACAGCCAAGGCCGGGUGGGGAGCUGGGGCUCCAGUGAGACGGAGCUCCGCGCCAGUGGGUGAAGCAAGUUAUCUCCGGGGCCCGGAGGACACCGGUGAGGACCGGGCACCAAUCAGGGCUCUGUGCUCUGUGUGUGUCUGGCCAGCCGUCUCAGAAAGGGCUUUUGGGUGAAGAGGAUAAACCUGUUUCUUUGGCCCUCUCGUGCUGGACAAAUAAAGGAAGUUUCAUUGCUGAGAUGACUGCGAGAAGGGGCUUCAGAUCGAGGAGAAAACCGCUAAACCAGAGGUUUUGUCUUUUUUCCCCCUCACUCGAUUAAUGGUGUAAAUAUACCUCAAACAUCUAUCCCCUAACCCCCGCCCAAACCUCAGGUAACUGGUCUUUUGUAAAACAAGGGUCACGAUAAAUGAUGCAUAAAGUUCUUUGAGAUCCCUGGAAGCAAAGUGCUACGUGACUGCAGUCUUCCUUACAGCUAAGCUAAGAUUGUGGCUGAGAGAAAGCCUAACCGCUGCCCUGAUGGUAUGAACGUUUCAGUUCCCCCUCCCUUCCCAACCUUUCUCAAGAAAUCAGGAAAUUUUUAGCUCAGUCUUAGACCCGCUAGCGAGCUCUAGCUCCCAGUUAUUUUUCUCACCCUCCUCACCAUUUCUGCAGGGACCUAGGGAAGGGGGCGUGGCCUGCCUUAGAUAAGGGGCUGGGCUCCCCGGGAUAAUUUGCAUACAACACACCCUCUUUCUCCUAUUGGCGGAGCAGCACAAACUAUAUUCCCUCCCACUUCACUACCUAACUAACCCGCCAGCUCCCUUCAGUUCGGAGCCUCGGAGACAAACUUAACUUGCCCGGAGAUUCAAGGCGUCCUCGGCCUCUGUGAUUGGCCGGCGCAGCUCCCAGCCGGGCUCUAGUUGCUCAUUGGCUGCGGGCUAGCGCCCCGGGGGCGUGGCCGGAGCUGUCCGAUUGGCGGGAGGGGGCGGUACCGGAGCGCGGUGGUGG
rnacentral:lncRNA from 1 species